UGGCGUGCGCUCAGGGAGCUGGCGAGUGGCUGCUCGCCUUCCUGGAGACGUGCGGGGGACAGCUGCUCAUGCAGGUGCCGGAAAUCCUGAGCAUCAUCUACAUCCGGAUGCCGACCAUGCAGCAGGACACCCUCCGCGGCCUCCUCUUCAAGGCGGUGUCCCUGCUCGCCCACUACCACCCCGGGGCCGUCAUCGACAGCCUCCUGCACAAGCAGCUGCCCGUGGACAGUGAAACCGUGGAGCUGUGGGGGGUCCUGGGGA